GAGGAAAGUGGCGAGCGACUCUCUGGUCUGUAACUGACGCUGAGGAGCGAAAGCGUGGGGAGCGAACAGGAUUAGAUACCCUGGUAGUCCACGCCGUAAACGAUGAGUGCUAAGUGUUAGGGGGUUUCCGCCCCUUAGUGCUGCAGCUAACGCAUUAAGCACUCCGCCUGGGGAGUACGGUCGCAAGACUGAAACUCAAAGGAAUUGACGGGGGCCCGCACAAGCGGUGGAGCAUGUGGUUUAAUUCGAAGCAACGCGAAGAACCUUACCAGGUCUUGACAUCCUCUGACAAUCCUAGAGAUAGGACGUCCCCUUCGGGGGCAGAGUGACAGGUGGUGCAUGGUUGUCGUCAGCUCGUGUCGUGAGAUGUUGGGUUAAGUCCCGCAACGAGCGCAACCCUUGAUCUUAGUUGCCAGCAUUCAGUUGGGCACUCUAAGGUGACUGCCGGUGACAAACCGGAGGAAGGUGGGGAUGACGUCAAAUCAUCAUGCCCCUUAUGACCUGGGCUACACACGUGCUACAAUGGACAGAACAAAGGGCAGCGAAACCGCGAGGUUAAGCCAAUCCCACAAAUCUGUUCUCAGUUCGGAUCGCAGUCUGCGACUCGACUGCGUGAAGCUGGAAUCGCUAGUAAUCGCGGAUCACCCUGCCGCGGUGAAUACGUUCCCGGGCCUUGUACACACCGCCCGUCACACCACGAGAGUUUGUCACACCCGAAGUCGGUGAUGUAGCCUUUUAGGAGACAGGAGAGUCCCGUGCGACAGA
rnacentral:rRNA from 1 species